UCCCUGGUGGUCCAGUGGCUAAGGCUUCUUGCUUCCAAUGCAGGAGGCCUGGGUUUGAUCCCUGGUCAGGGAA
rnacentral:tRNA from 1 species